rnacentral:rRNA from 1 species
CUUGCUGGGGGAUUAGUGGCGAACGGGUGAGUAACACGUGAGUAACCUGCCCUUGACUCUGGGAUAAGCCUGGGAAACUGGGUCUAAUACCGGAUACGACCAUCUGACGCAUGUCAUGGUGGUGGAAAGCUUUUGCGGUUUUGGAUGGACUCGCGGCCUAUCAGCUUGUUGGUGGGGUAAUGGCCUACCAAGGCGACGACGGGUAGCCGGCCUGAGAGGGUGACCGGCCACACUGGGACUGAGACACGGCCCAGACUCCUACGGGAGGCAGCAGUGGGGAAUAUUGCACAAUGGGCGAAAGCCUGAUGCAGCGACGCCGCGUGAGGGAUGACGGCCUUCGGGUUGUAAACCUCUUUCAGUAGGGAAGAAGCGAAAGUGACGGUACCUGCAGAAGAAGCGCCGGCUAACUACGUGCCAGCAGCCGCGGUAAUACGUAGGGCGCAAGCGUUAUCCGGAAUUAUUGGGCGUAAAGAGCUCGUAGGCGGUUUGUCGCGUCUGCUGUGAAAGACCGGGGCUCAACUCCGGUUCUGCAGUGGGUACGGGCAGACUAGAGUGCAGUAGGGGAGACUGGAAUUCCUGGUGUAGCGGUGAAAUGCGCAGAUAUCAGGAGGAACACCGAUGGCGAAGGCAGGUCUCUGGGCUGUAACUGACGCUGAGGAGCGAAAGCAUGGGGAGCGAACAGGAUUAGAUACCCUGGUAGUCCAUGCCGUAAACGUUGGGCACUAGGUGUGGGGGACAUUCCACGUUUUCCGCGCCGUAGCUAACGCAUUAAGUGCCCCGCCUGGGGAGUACGGCCGCAAGGCUAAAACUCAAAGGAAUUGACGGGGGCCCGCACAAGCGGCGGAGCAUGCGGAUUAAUUCGAUGCAACGCGAAGAACCUUACCAAGGCUUGACAUGAACCGGAAAGACCUGGAAACAGGUGCCCCGCUUGCGGUCGGUUUACAGGUGGUGCAUGGUUGUCGUCAGCUCGUGUCGUGAGAUGUUGGGUUAAGUCCCGCAACGAGCGCAACCCUCGUUCUAUGUUGCCAGCGCGUUAUGGCGGGGACUCAUAGGAGACUGCCGGGGUCAACUCGGAGGAAGGUGGGGACGACGUCAAAUCAUCAUGCCCCUUAUGUCUUGGGCUUCACGCAUGCUACAAUGGCCGGUACAAAGGGUUGCGAUACUGUGAGGUGGAGCUAAUCCCAAAAAGCCGGUCUCAGUUCGGAUUGGGGUCUGCAACUCGACCCCAUGAAGUCGGAGUCGCUAGUAAUCGCAGAUCAGCAACGCUGCGGUGAAUACGUUCCCGGGCCUUGUACACACCGCCCGUCAAGUCACGAAAGUUGGUAACAC